rnacentral:rRNA from 1 species
GACGAACGCUGGCGGCGUGCUUAACACAUGCAAGUCGAACGGAAAGGCCCUGCUUUUGUGGGGUGCUCGAGUGGCGAACGGGUGAGUAGCACGUGAGUAACCUGCCCUUGACUUUGGGAUAACUUCAGGAAACUGGGGCUAAUACCGGAUAGGAGCUCCUGCUGCAUGGUGGGGGUUGGAAAGUUUCGGCGGUUGGGGAUGGACUCGCGGCUUAUCAGCUUGUUGGUGGGGUAGUGGCUUACCAAGGCUUUGACGGGUAGCCGGCCUGAGAGGGUGACCGGCCACAUUGGGACUAAGAUACGGCGCAGAAUCCUACGGGAGGCAGCAGUGGGGAAUAUUGCACAAUGGGCGGAAGCCUGAUGCAGCAACGCCGCGUGCGGGAUGACGGCCUUCGGGUUGUAAACCGCUUUCGCAUGUGACGAAGCGUGAGUGACGGUAAUGGGUAAAGAAGCACCGGCUAACUACGUG